rnacentral:lncRNA from 1 species
UCUCUCUCUCUCUCUCUCUCUCUCUCUCUCUCUCUCUCUAUCUCUCUCUCUCUCUCUCUCUCUCUCUCUCUCUCUCUCUCUCUCUCUCUCUCUCUCUCUCUCUCUCUCUCUCUCUGUCAGUGGGCGACUCAACUCUUACUUGCUCAUGGCGAAAAUAGUGACUCAUCAUCGUGUUUUCUUUCCUCAUGACAGACUAUGUUUUGCUCACAGCUGUUUUAUCAAUGCUCGGGAACGCGUGGAGAAAUGUGUUCAGCUUAAUGGAGAAAAUACUAUAUAGCUUGUCUUCUUGUGUGUGUGUGUGUGUGUGUGUGUGUGUGUGUGUGUGUGUGUGUGUUGUUUGCAUUUUACAAUCUUGAUGUGUUCUCAUGCUUGACCAUGAAUGCAAAUUAUAGAACCAAGGAGAGAGAGAGAGAGAGAGAGAGAGAGAGAGAGAGAGAGAGAGAGAGAAAGGAGUUCACCGAGUGGCAACUGCUUUGGUUUGGUUUCGGUCAAGACUGAUGUGUAUGGGUCCUGUAUGAAGUCGGUGCUCGCAGCCUUCCCAACGCCGCCUCACGUCGCGCCCCACUCUUUAACCAGCUCUGAUAGGGGUCAGUUUGGAUUACUGUUUGCGGCCUUGUGACCUUGUCAUUACAACUAUUACUUGUUCUUCUCAAGAUACCCAAACGAAAGUGAAAAUCCACUGCAGAGAUGCAGAACAAAUUAAAAAAAGGCAGGAAUGAGUGUGAAGCUGAGUGUUCGGUGUGUAAACCAGGAACAUUUGUCUCACUGGCACAUAAAAGCAUUAAUGACUUAUAAUCACAUGAUUAUCAGCCAUAUGCAAAGGUAAAUAAGUUGAGUUUCUUUUAAUUAAUUUACAUGUUUUUCAGUAUCAUAUUAGGACCAUAAUCAGGUGUUAGUGAAAGUGUCCGAAAUUUUGAUAGUUCAUAAUGGCAACCCUAGUUUUGCGUCAGCACAGAGAGAGAGAGAGAGAGAGAGAGAGAGAGAGAGAGAGAGAAUUAAUAUUCAGAAAGAUGAAAAAAAAAAAAUUGGUGUGUCCUUUUGUGGAUAAGAAGGAGGUUGCCGUGUGUACUAGAAGGGUAAUGUGUCUCGCAGCUUCCCCAGCCGUCACGCAUCCCAAGACAUAUCGGCCAACUGUUUGAUACCAUAUGUUCCGUGAGCCAUCGACGUUUCUCUCACUAUUCAGAGCGCUGGUGAGCCUUAAAACACCGCCCUUGUCACGCCCCUGCAUAAGGUGUGUUGGGAGUAGCUUUGCCCAGUAAUUAUAUAUAUAUAUAUAUAUAUAUAUAUAUAUAUAUAUAUAUAUAUAUAUAUAUAUAUAUAUAUAUAUAUAUAUAUAUAUAUAUAUUCCAACUCUGGAGCUGGUUUCCUGAACAGAGAGGUGUAAGAGGAGGAGCAUCAGCCAUGGGGUUGGCAACACUGGUCAGAAAACGUGCACCCCCAAGGCCGCAACUGACGCGAGCCACCCCGCUCUGCUCUCACCUCCUCCCGCACGCUCUCCACCGACCCGCCACCCAGCCUUUGCCUCACAAUGGCCCCUUACAUUCCCAACGCAUGCAGGCAAGCAGGCACUGAUGAGAGGCUUCUGGCACGGCUGUCAUCUCCACUCCAUAAGCUCCCGGCAGGUGAUGCUGGAUAGAUAGCUUUGCGCUUGGUGAUUGUGGAAUAUUUUUCAAAUUUUACAAGUGGCGGAGCUAGGCGUGAGUCAGCAGGUUUGUUACAGCUGAGUUGAAGCCUGAACCAGACUGCCUAAGGGAUGAUUAUGCUGAUUUUGUAAACGGAGGUAGUAAGAGGGCGAGGUGUUUGUCUUGGAUAGAAAAGGUAGGAAAGUGUGUGGCUGAGGUAACGGGGCAUAGUAAGGUUUCCAGCCAUGUCACAUCGAAAAGAGUGAUCGGUGGCCGCCCUGCAUCGGGGUUGAGUAAGCCGGGGCGCGGGUGGCGAGAAGGGAAAUCUGCGCUUGCCAGGAAUUGCUGUGCGCCUAUAUUGGUCUCGUCCACCCUUGCCAAAACAUUCCAUUGGGCGAAAUAAUCCUCAUAUAUGCCGUUCCCCGGAGGUGCGCGGAAAUAGGCGUCGCCCUGACGAGUGCGUCACCGUGUGGCUGGCGACGUCCCCGCACCUCGCUUAGGAGAGGUAGCGUGGAACAGGCGAAGAGCUACUUGGGCUUCUGAGGUAAAUAACAGGAGGAGAACUGUAUAAUCCCUGUUGGCAACCGAGUGUAGUUCUUGCUGACCCAGAGAAUAAAGACUUGAGUCGCACUAGUGCCGCCUCCAUUGUUGCCAGUUGCCACACAGCCUGUCUCACAAUGUCGCUAGCAGCUGCCAGCCAGCCGCCAAUCUCUGCACCUCACGUAUUGCAUUGUUGCCCUAAUUAAAGCCCCACUAACAACCCGGAAAUCAAAGGCCGAGACGAAGACUAACCAAGCGAUCUAAAUAGAUAGAAAGUUGUGUGUGGCAACGCAUGGCCUUGCUGGACCCGAGGAUAACAAGAUCGGUGCCCGUUGGGCGCGGGCGUGCCAUCACCUCCUGCUGCCCGCAGCCCUAUACUAGGCCCUUGAACAGUGCUGUAACUAGGCUUUGCUAUUAUGGGUAAUAGUGAAUAUUGAUCCACAACUAAAGAAUUAACAAUGUGUUGGAUGUUUUGGCGAUGAAAAUAAGGCAGUGUGAUGGAGGAUGUGUCCAAGGCCCCGAGGCCUGGCGCCAAGUGGCGGACACAAGCUUGCAGAAAAUGUAUAUUGUCAUGUAGAUAUGUGCACACGUGUGCCCUUAGUACACGUACUCUCUCUCUCUCUCUCUCUCUCUCUCUCUCUCUCUCUCUCUCUCUCUCUCUCUCUCUCUCUCUCUCUCUCUCUCUCUCUCUCUCUCUCUCUCUCUCUCUCUCUCUCUCUCUCUCUCAGUUCUUAUGUUGUCUUAUCGUUUUAUCGCUUAUCACGACAUGAUGAUAUACACUCGACAUUGGGUUUCGUUGUUUGCAACCGAUUAC